AUUACUUCUUUGAGUUUUUAAAAUGAUAUCUGUGAAGAGCCAGGCUCCAGCACUCUAGCAGUGGGCAUAACAGCGUGUUCUGUGAUGGGCCGCAGAUGCAGGAACCGAACGCGUUGGGAAAGGCGGGAGACGACAUGGAGGAGAUGUACAGCAUUAGCUCUGUCAGUCCAUGUCCUGUAGAGGAGUCUCAGCCUAACGGAGUCGUCGGAGCGGGAGAGACCACCACCAAGCUGCCAGCAUGUCUCUCCCAGGAGAACCUAAACAACUUGCCUCUCCACAUCUCGCCUUUAGAGGCCAUCCGAGAGCUGGACGAGGCUGAGGAGGCUUUGUCUGGUCUGCGCAGUCCAGGAGAUGGAGCGGUGAGGGCUAAAGAUCAGCUCGGGACCAGGGAGGAGUCGCCACUACAUUCCACAGAGAGGGAAACGGAUGAACCGGCUUUCGAGGAUAGUGAAGGAGACGAUGCUCCCGGGUCUGUUACGGUGAAGACCUUAAGAUCCAUAAUCACAAGCGAGGACGGGGUCAACCUGGACACUCCACAGACAGAAACCUGUAGUUCCCCUCAUGACAUCUCUGAUCUAGGUUGCCUUCGAGAUGAUUCACCAAAACAUACCUCGCAGAAAUGGCUUGGAUCAGGAGGGAAGCACAAAGGAAUGCUGGGAACCAACUCCACUUUAGAACGGACAAUUGUUAUCAUUGGAUCUGAACUGACUGAAACUGGAUCAUCUGUCACCUCUCUACAGAUGGACCCGAAGGAGAGACGCAUGCACACACACAUGGGUGUUACAGGAAGCGGUGAGCUGAGGAACUCUACAGGUAGCGUCUCUGAUUUAGAGGAGAAUACACCUGAGGACCCAACCCAAGGUGAUGUGUGCAGCAGCAGCACAAGGGCUUCUACACCGGAGGCAUGUAACAGUACUCUCAUUGACAUCCUCACUGCGUGUCAAACCAAAGUGGAGCAUCUGGAACGGCUCAAAUGCUCCUCUUUCGAGCUGACGAUCCAGCUCCAGUCUGCGCAGGCACUGGCGACCCAUCUCCAGCAGCAGGUGGUGGGGUUGGAGCAGGAGCGCUGCAGCCGGCAGGAGGAGGUGCAGGGGCUCCAGGAGCAGCUGCAGGAGGCGCAGAGAGCUCUGCAGGAGAAGAGCACACAGACGGCCCGCAUUAGCGAGGAGCUGCGGCUGCUUCACCUGCAGCGGGAGGAGAGGACAAGCGCCUCCGGGUCCUCUGGGGUCCAGGAGCCCCCGAAUGGCCAUGCGCUCACGCUGUCUGCUGGGGCGGACCAUGGCCCCUCACGAGUAUGCACACUGCUCUGAUAGUGGGGGGACCAUGGCCCCUCACGAGUAUGCACACUGCUCUGAUAGUGGGGCGGACCAUCGCCCCUCACGAGUAUGCACACCGCUCUGAUAGUGGGGGGACCAUGGGCCUCACGAGUAUGCACACCGCUCUGAUAGUGGGGGGACCAUGGGCCUCACGAGUAUGCACACUGCUCUGAUAGUGGGGGGACCAUGGGCCUCACGAGUAUGCAUACUGCUCUGAUGGUGCUGAGGCUCUUGGAUUAAGAUUAAUUUGUCUGAGGUAUAAAAGUUAUUAGUUACAUUGUAUGCAGGCCCCUAGGUCCUCAUUUUCAGCUUGAAAUCGUGUGUGCCACAUAUGAGAAUCUGAUCAAACCAACGGCUCUUUAACCUAUAGGGUGGGACACUCCAUCAAGUGUAUGUUUGUGUAUGGAAUGGUCAGUUUGGCUUUAUCUUACAUGUCUUUGGUCAGAUCAAGUUCAGUGUGGGGAAACAAAAAGGAUUAUGCAUGAAGUGGGUCUGUAGGCAACACUGAGUGGAGUCUUAGUCUUCCAUGUGUUACGACCCUACUGAUUGGAUGUCAUAAAGUAUAAGCUAAAGCUUAAUGUGUGAUUGUGUUUAAAGUAAUCUGAUGUAUAGAACGGAGCACUUAAAGUUUUACCAGCAAUUGUAUAGCAUUUCAUACAGCUACAUGAUCAUACAGUGUGCAUUGUAUAUUGCAAGUAUACGUAUUUCAACCAUUGUAUUUACAACGGCAGAAAUGUCAUUACAAUCAUUUCUCUGGCACUUAGCAAUGGAAUCAAUCAUAUUCACUCUGUGAAAGAGACAUCAUUUACCUCUAUGCAUGACUAUAGUGCAGUUUAUAGUCAAAUUGAAAGCCUCAAGUUCAUUUGGUGUUUCAGCAUAAGAUGAUCCUCUCUCAGCUCUCAUUAAUACUGAAUGGUGGAACAUUAGUGGGCUUCGGGGGGGCCAGGCGCUCCACACUCCUCCUGAGAGACAGGCAUCAUCACAGGCUCCUGCCCCACCGUGAGGGCACAGCUCCUUUCAUCACUCUCCCUCCCCUGGCUCUGCUGUUUUAGCCGCAGUAAGCACAAUGUGCAUGAAAUAUUCAUACGUGCAAAAUUACAAUAUAGGUCAUGGGGGGAAGAAAUGCUCACUUAACACCAGAGCAGCAAGAGGAUGCCUCCGUGGUCUAAAGAGAUACUCCAGAUUCCUCAUGGAGUUGUAACAGCUGAUGGUGGGGGUACUGAGAAAGAAACAUUGAGACUAUGUUAGUUCAACUCUUCAUUAGGUUAUAGCAUGCAGUUCAUGCAGUUCAUGCAGUUCAUGCAAUAAAGGGUACAAAAGAGUUAUUUAUAAAUGCA
ensembl:lncRNA